rnacentral:rRNA from 1 species
GACGAACGCUGGCGGCGUGCUUAAUACAUGCAAGUCGAACGGAAAGGCCCUGCUUUUGUGUCGUUCUCGUUUGCCGAACAGGUGAGUAACACGCGAGUAACCUCCCCCUAUCUUUCUGGUAUAUUUUCGAGACUCCGGCUCUUAUCCCAUAUAAUCUCCUGCUCCAUGGUGUUCAUUAGUAAGAUUCGGCGGUGGGGGCUGGACUCGAGGCUUAUCCGCUUGUUUGUCGGGUAGUGGCUUUCCAAGGCUUUGACGGGUAGCCUGCCUGAGAGGGUGACCGGGCACAUUGGGACUGAGAUACGGCGCAGAAUCGUACGGGAGGCAGCAGUGGGGAAUAUUGCACAAUGGGGGGAAGCCUGAUGCAGAAACGCUGCGUGCGGGAUGACGGCUUUCGGGUUGUAAACAGAUUUCGCAUGUGACGAAGAGUGAGUGACGGUAAUGGGUAAAGAAGCACCGGCUAACUACGUG